rnacentral:rRNA from 1 species
GAUGAACGCUAGCGACAGGCCUAACACAUGCAAGUCGAGGGGCAGCACAUGAGUAGCAAUACGAUGGUGGCGACCGGCGCACGGGUGAGUAACACGUAUGCAACCUGCCUUCUACUAUGGGAUAACCCGUUGAAAGACGGACUAAUACCGUAUAAUACAGGGGCUCCGCAUGGAGAUAUUUGUUAAAGAUUUAUUGGUAGAAGAUGGGCAUGCGUAUGAUUAGAUAGUUGGUGAGGUAACGGCUCACCAAGUCAACGAUCAUUAGGGGUUCUGAGAGGAAGGUCCCCCACACUGGUACUGAGACACGGACCAGACUCCUACAGGAAGCAGCAGUGAGGAAUAUUGGUCAAUGGACGAGAGUCUGAGCCAGCCAAGUCGCGUGAAGGAAGACGGUUCUAUGAAUUGUAAACUUCUUUUGUGCAGGAAUAAAGUGGGUUACGUGUAACCUUUUGUAUGUACUGUACGAAUAAGGAUCGGCUAACUCCGUGCCAGCCGCCGCCGUAAGAC